GUAGAAAGAGGGCAGGGGACGUGGGUACGACGGAGGGGGUAAGAGUUGUCCGGAUUUAUAGGGCGUAAAGGGAGCGCAGGGGGUUGCUGAAGUCUGAUGUGAAAGCCCACGGCGUAACCGUGGAAGGUCAUUGGAAACUGGGGAACUUGAGUGCAGAAGAGGAGAGUGGAAUUCCAUGUGUAGCCGUGAAAUGCGUAGAUAUAUGGAGGAACACCAGUGGCGAAGGCGACUCUCUGGUCUGUAACUGACGCUGAGGCUCGAAAGCGUGGGGAGCAAACAGGAUUAGAUACCCCUGUAGUC
rnacentral:rRNA from 1 species